AGUCUUAUAUAUAGUAGAUGAGAUAAAUUCUACCAAACUUUUAAGAAACCAAUGUUUAUUACUGGAAUUAAAAGUAUAAAUUGGAAUAAUAUGUCUUAUUCCAGUGUUAACUUCUCCUAUCACCUGACAUAGAGAGUUUUUAAAUAACUUUUGUGCUACAAGAUGAAAUACAUGGCAUGCCACAAUUUAGACUCCUACUAAAUCUGCAAAGAUUAGUAUACUGUCUGCCUAAUUCAGCAUUUAUCCAAAAACUGACAUACCAUAAUUCCAGAAAGAUGACAAUAAUGCAAUGUUAGAGAAUCUUUCAAAGUAAUUUAUUAAGUAAACGCAUUGAAAUUUUUAAAACAUGAUUCAGUGACUGAUUUCAAUAAAAACACUAAAUGUGUAUUAAACAGAAAUCCUGGAUGUACAACACAUAGCAGGGAUCAGGAACAUUGUCUCUGCUUUAGUAACAUAUGAAGGAAAUAAAAAUAAGCACCACAAAUAUUGUAAAAGUUAAUAUUAUCAUUAUUUACAGGUGAUAUGAUCAGAGAUCUUGAAAAAAUAAUGCAUGCCACUAAAAUGAUUAAAAUUAAGUUUUGAAGGAAGCUUGAUUCAAAAUUAAUACAUAAGUUUUAACAGAUUUUAUUUGCAUAACAAACAUCUGUAUAAAAAUGUAAAUGGAAACCACCUCUUUAUAUUAGACAGAAAAGGGAAAGCAAAAGCAGACUUAGAUGUUCGAAGACACAUCUACAUGAUGACUUCUCAUAUGUUCUCUUCUGUAUCUCGUUUUAAAAUGCUGGACGUCAUCCACUUAACUGAUUCUAAAGACCCAAUGUUUCAAAAAUACUGUUGUAGACCAUCCCAUUAUGUUUUAAAAAGAUAAAGCUCCCAAAGAUUGAGUGGCUUGCUUAAUAUCUAGAAACCUGGUAAACAGGAGCUGAGGCUAAACAACCUGUAGGCUUCAAUUCAAGACCUCUUAUUUCAUUAAAAAAAAAAAACGUUGAAUGCUGGGCUGCACUGAGUUGAGAAAUCUCUGAAGAAAGUUAAAGAGUCUGGCAUAGUUUCUAAACAGUGAGCAAAGGGUUUGUGAUCCAGCAGCAGACUCCACAAUAUUCCAUAGAAGACCACAGAAUAUUCAGUAUAAUCUACAGUGCCUCUUAAUCUCUGGAAACUUCUACCCCCAACAGUGGUAAAUUUGUAACUGAUGAUUCCCUGAGUCAAUUCCAAGCCCUGGGACAUUUGUGUGACAUUUGCAUGGGGAAAAUAGCAGUGUUCAUAGCAUCAGUAAAAUCAUUAUUAUACUUGGACACAUUAACAACUACAGACAAGAAAAUGAUCCCAGUUUCCAAAGCAGAAUUUAUUUCUUAUUGCACAGAAACAAACAUAAAUUUGAAACAGCUUCGUAUUACAUCUUUUAAAUCAACAGUUGUCCUAUUUUCCUUCUAAACACUUCUCAAAGUCGGUCAAAAUGCAACAGACUGGGAAGCUACCACUUAACACUCACCAUUCAAAAAAAGUAUCACUCUUCUGUAGACAAAAGGCUGUGUACAGCGUAAUUUUACUGUGAGGCUGCUGCUCCUCUUAAACUGUUGUAUCCUAGUGGAAAGCACAGAGAGGGGAGGGAAGUGGCAGAGAGAACUGGAGGGGACCCCAAGGGUAAGCAUGGUGACAGUGUGGUGGCGGCCGUUCUCCAAGCCUCCCCACCACCCUCUUUAGCAGCCAAGGGCUGGAGACACACAGAGGGAGAGCUUUCCAGAGAGCCCAGUGAAAAGGGAGAGCUUUUUAAUAUGGUAUUUUGAGUAAGGGAUGUAAUUUUUCUAUUUUUUUUGGCAGCACAAUAGAAACUACAGUUAACAUCAACUCAGCAAUGACUGGCCUGGAACACUGCUGUGCAUUUUAUAUAGUGUCUUAGUCAUCUGGGCCUAUUGGAACAAAAACCCAAAGACCACCAACAUGCAUUUCUCACUGUUCUGGAGGCUGGGAAGUACCAGCUGGGUGUCAGCAGAUCCAGUGUCUGGUGAGGGCCUCUUCUGGCCUGCACAUGUGCACCCUGGCUGGGUCCUCACACAAAGUGAGAAACAUCAUCUUUCAUAUCUCUUGUUAUGAGGCACUAAUCCCAUCUGGAGGCCUCCACUCUCCUGACCUCAUUAACCUCCCAAAGGCCCCACCUUCAAAUACCAUCCCAUUGGGGGUUAGGACUUCAACAUAUGAAUUUAGGGGGAGACACAGACAUUCAGACAAUAACAUAUAGUUACCUGUGGAGUCCCAUCCACAUUCUCCACAGUUCACAGAUAAGGGGCCUGAGAUACGGACAGGGCUUGCAUUACUUCGUGGGAUCACAGCCUCCCAGCAUGUGAGUACAAGACAGAGCCUGAAUCCAGGGCCUAGGAUUGCAGGUACUGCUGUUUGGGGCCUUCCUGUGUUGUUCUAUUUUGAAAAACUUUUUGAGCAUCAAACCAGUUAUUUCAUUGGCUAAAGAGAGGCUGUAGUUCUAUUUUUCAUGGAUAAAAGAGUGCAAUGAAACCUCACGUGCCAGUUAUUCAGCACCAACUUUCUUCUGUUUUGGCUGCAAGUAUCUCUCCUCUCACAUUUGUUAAAGAAUACUCUAAAGUAAAUGUGUGGAUUUUCCUAUAAAUGUACUCAUCUCCCCUAAUUCAGGUUUCAAGUUCUGCAGUUUCACUUACCUUCAGUCAACCUUGGCCCAAAAAUGCUAAACAGAAAAUUCUAGAAACACACAAUUCAUAACUUUUAAAUUGGGCACCAUUCUGAGUAGUAUGAUGAAGUCUCUUACCAUCCAGCUCCGUCCCACCCAGGAUGCAAAUUGUCCCUUUCUCCAGGGUAUCCACCAUGUACAUACUGUCCACCCAUUAGUCACUUAGGUACAGUUAUCAAAUCAAUGGUCACAGUAUUGAUACCAGCGGGCCAGGAGAGGUCCCCAAAUGCCUAUGGGACCUCAUCCCCUGCCUGUGUCCAGGGUCUUGACAACAUUGUGAGAGAGAAUUCAAGAAUGAGUCAGGAUACAGUGAAAAUACAAAAGUACACACUCAAGAAAGGUGAGUGUUCAAGAGACAGUCGUGCCAUGGGGUUUGGGGCUUUAAUCUUUUAAGCCCCAAAAGAUUAAAUUAUGGGUUUCUUUAAUCGAGUGGUACAGUAUUCCUGGAAGAGAGGUAGCUGCUUCUCAGAACUCUGAAGUGGCUGUAUUGUAAUUAUAUAAUUCCUUCUGCAUUUGUUAGUGGUUAGUCUGUC